rnacentral:rRNA from 1 species
AACGCUAGCUACAGGCUUAACACAUGCAAGUCGAGGGGUCUUUUUUAGCUUGCUUUAAAAGACGACCGGCGCACGGGUGAGUAACGCGUAUCCAACCUGCCAUUCAUAUUGGGAUAGCCUUUCGAAAGAGAGAUUAAUACCGAAUAACAUACUGAGUUUGCAUGAAACCAGUAUGAAAGCUGAGGCGAUGAAUGAUGGGGAUGCGUUCCAUUAGGUAGUAGGCGGGGUAACGGCCCACCUAGCCUACGAUGGAUAGGGGUUUUGAGAGGAAGGUCCCCCACACUGGAACUGAGACACGGUCCAGACUCCUACGGGAGGCAGCAGUGAGGAAUAUUGGUCAAUGGGCGCAAGCCUGAACCAGCCAAGUAGCGUGAAGGAUGACUGCCCUAUGGGUUGUAAACUUCUUUUAUAUGGGAACAAUGUGCUCUACGUGUAGAGUUUUGCGUGUACCAUAUGAAUAAGCAUCGGCUAACUCCGUGCCAGCAGCCGCGGUAAUACGGAGGAUGCAAGCGUUAUCCGGAUUUAUUGGGUUUAAAGGGAGCGUAGGUGGUUUGUUAAGCCAGCUGUGAAAUACUGUAGCUCAACUACAGCCGUGCAGUUGGAACUGGCAGACUUGAGUGCACAAGAGGAAGGUGGAAUUCGUGGUGUAGCGGUGAAAUGCUUAGAUAUCACGAAGAACUCCGAUUG